CGGAAAAAUAAUCCUAAUCGAAUAAAUUUUAGGUUAUCUUUUCUUGAGGUAUAUAAAUACACAAGACUUGCGUUUAAUGUGCUAUGUGCACAUUAGCAGAAUCAAUUUGUACGUCAAUCUGUUGGUCUUCAUUUAUUUACCCAGACAUUGGGUUUGACUCGUAGCUUUGCAAACCAACUUCGUCUUUUGUGAAUCAAGGGGAAAGAGAAGUGCAUUAAUCAAAGGGACAAAGUGUCCAUGAGUACAUAAGGUGUUACAGAACUAGGACAAUGAUGCUCCCAACAUUGUUCAACACCAAAAGGCACAACUCUAGCAAGUAUUUUGUGAGAUAAUGGAAUUCUAGACUAACUUUGAAGUCUUGCAGAAGCUCAAGACUAGUGAGGUGAUGACUUUUUUCUUUUAACACCCUUUUAGUCUAAAAUAUUUUGUUUGCACAGUAUCACUUUUUUUUGUGCAUGUGUACCCGUAUAUUUUUUUUUGGUGUGAAUGACAGGUUCACUUGAAGACGGGGACGAAGAUGAAGGCAGAGAUUCCGUCGUGAUGGGCCACAUGUCUUUAGCACUGUGAGCCUGUCAGGGGUGUUAUUCAUAUGUCUUUAGCACUGCGACACUGACACCUCCAGACAGUCCCUUGAAGACGAAGACGAAGGCAGGGAUUCCGUCGUGAUGGGCCACAUGUCUUUAGCACUGUGAGCCUGUCAGGGGUGUUAUUCAUAUGUCUUUAGCACUGCGACACUGACACCUCCAGACAGUCCCUUGAAGACGAAGACGAAGGCAGGGAUUCCGUCGUGAUGGGCCACAUGUCUUUAGCACUGUGAGCCUGUCAGGGGUGUUAUUCAUAUGUCUUUAGCACUGCGACACUGACACCUCCAGACAGUCCCUUGAAGACGAAGACGAAGACGAAGGCAGGGAUUCCGUCGUGAUGGGCCACAUGUCUUUAGCACUGUGAGCCUGUCAGGGGUGUUAUUCAUAUGUCUUUAGCACUGCGACACUGACACCUCCAGACAGUCCCUUGAAGACGAAGACGAAGGCAGGGAUUCCGUCGUGAUGGGCCACAUGUCUUUAGCACUGUGAGCCUGUCAGGGGUGUUAUUCAUAUGUCUUUAGCACUGCGACACUGACACCUCCAGACAGUCCCUUGAAGACAGUCAAUCUCACCCUCGAGGUAUGUUGUCUAACCCAUGAUUUUUGUUUUGUUAAAU